CCUACGGGAGGCAGCAGUGGGGAAUAUUGGGCAAUGGACGCAAGCCUGACCCAGCAACGCCGCGUGAAUGAAGAAGGCUUUCGGGUUGUAAACUUCUUUUAAGGGGGAAGAGCAGAAGACGGUACCCCUUGAAUAAGCCACGGCUAACGACGUGCCAGCAGCCGCGGUAAUACGUAGGUGGCAAGCGUUGUCCGGAUUUACUGGGUGUAAAGGGCGUGCAGCCGGGGAGACAAGUCAGAUGUGAAAUCCACGGUCUCAACCCGUGAACUGCAUUUGAAACUGUUUCCCUUGAGUGUCGGAGAGGUAAGCGGAAUUCCUGGUGUAGCGGUGAAAUGCGUAGAUAUAAGGAGGAACACCAGUGGCGAAGGCGGAUUACUGGACGAUAACUGACGGUGAGGCGCGAAAGCGUGGGGAGCAAACAGGAUUAGAUACCCCAGUAGUC
rnacentral:rRNA from 1 species